rnacentral:rRNA from 1 species
UACGAAGGGGGCUAGCGUUGUUCGGAAUUACUGGGCGUAAAGGGCGCGUAGGCGGCCGUUUAAGUUAGGUGUGAAAGUCCUGGGCUCAGCCUGGGGACUGCACUUAAUACUGGAUGGCUUGAAUUCGGGAGAGGAUAGCGGAAUUCCCAGUGUAGAGGUGAAAUUCGUAGAUAUUGGGAAGAACACCGGUGGCGAAGGCGGCUAUCUGGACCGACAUUGACGCUGAGGCGCGAAAGCGUGGGGAGCAAACAGG